AGGCUCCCAGGUCGAAAUCCUGCGAGGCUCGAGGAUGGGUCUGCGGCCUAUCAGGUAGUAGGGGGUUUCACGGACCCCCUAGCCAGAGACGGGUACGGGCUUUGGGAGAAGUCGCCCGGAGAUGGAUUCUGAGACACGAAUCCAGGUCCUACGGGACGCAGCAGGCGCGAAACCUCCACAAUGUGGGAAACCACGAUGGGGGAACUCCAAGUGCCUACACUAAGUGUAGGCUGUUCUCGAGCCUAAAAAGCUCGAGAAGUAAGGGCCGGGUAAGACGGGUGCCAGCCGCCGCGGUAAUACCCGCGGCCCGAGUGGUGCUCAUUAUUAUUGAGCCUAAAGCGUCCGUAGCUGGCCAGGCAAAUCUCCGGGUAAAUCGGGCGGCUCAACCGUCCGAAUUCCGGAGACACUGCUUGGCUUGAGAUCGGGAGAGGGAGAAGGUACUCCCGGGGUAGGGGUAAAAUCCUGUAAUCCGGGGGGGACCACCAGUGGCGAAGGCGUUCUCCUAGAACGAAUCUGACAGUGAGGGACGAAGCCCUACGGCGCAAACGGGAUUAGAUACCCUGGUAGUCUAGGGUGUAAACGCUGCAGACUUGGUGUUGGGGGUCCUGCGUGGGGCUCCCAGUGCCGGAGCGAAGGUGUUA
rnacentral:rRNA from 1 species